UGUACUUGGGGAUGACUUUGA
rnacentral:misc_RNA from 1 species